rnacentral:rRNA from 1 species
AUGGAGUCAGCCAGGUGUUUGAUAACUUUCUGUAGCAGCAGUGUCAAGUGGGGGCGCCAUCACUCGAGGGUUUCAUUUUUGGUGGUGUUCCUCGGGUGCCGAGUCGUGACUUUCAAGAGGUUCGCCAAAUCAUUCUCCCCGUUCCCUAAAUUUCAAAUUUCGUUUCCGUCAGCCAAAACAGAGGAAAAGAAGAGAAAAGAGAAGAGGAAACUUGCGCACGUAACUGGAGAGAUCGUGCAUGUCGACGAAGCAGUUCCGGUCCAGCGCCGCCCCCCGCCGCCGCCGCCAAAGUCUGCAGUCCCCCGUUUCACGUCGCCGAUGGAAGAAGGAGAAGUGGUGAGGAAACGCAUGUCGCUAUCCUUCAAGGCCUGGCUCAGGUUCCCGGUCAGCCGCGUCGGGCGGUACCUCAAGCAGGGCCGCUAUGCGCGUCGCGUCGCGCCGCAAGCCGCCGUCUACCUCACCGCCGUCCUCGAGUACCUCGUCGCCGGGGCGGUCGCGGGUAAAUCUGGACGCUCAGCUCGAGCUUUUGGGCUCGGCCCGAGUUUGCGUCGGCUCGGAGCGAGUCAGGCUCGGCCCGUAACACAAAAAAGCCGAGCCGAGCUGCACAAUCGGGCUCGUUUUCACCUCGAGCCGAGCCAGGCUCGACUCGGGCUGACUCGCGAGCCCAAAGCUCGCACGGCAGAGCAGCCCAGCGCAGCCCUUAGCAAAUAG